AUACGUAGGGGGCGAGCGUUGUCCGGAAUUACUGGGCGUAAAGGGUGCGUAGGCGGCCUUUUAAGUCAGAUGUGAAAGGCUGCGGCUUAACCGCAGGACUGCAUUUGAAACUGGAAGGCUUGAGUGUCGGAGAGGGUAGUGGAAUUCCCAGUGUAGCGGUGAAAUGCGUAGAUAUUGGGAGGAACACCAGUGGCGAAGGCGACUACCUGGACGAUAACUGACGCUGAGGCACGAAAGCUAGGGGAGCAAACAGGAUUAGAUACCCUGGUAGUCCUAGCCGUAAACGAUGGGUACUAGGUGUAGGUGGUUUCGAUACCAUCUGUGCCGCAGUUAACUCAAUAAGUACCCCGCCUGGGGAGUACGGUCGCAAGACUGAA
rnacentral:rRNA from 1 species